GAUGAACGCUGGCGGCGUGCUUAACACAUGCAAGUCGAGCGAAGCACUUAUGAAAGAUUCUUCGGAUGAUUUCAUUUGUGACUGAGCGGCGGACGGGUGAGUAACGCGUGGGUAACCUGCCUCAUACAGGGGGAUAACAGUUGGAAACGACUGCUAAUACCGCAUACGCGCACGGUACCGAAUGGUAACGUGUGAAAAACUCCGGUGGUAUGAGAAGGACCCGCGUCUGAUUAGCUAGUUGGUUGUGUAACGGCCGACCAAGGCGACGAGCCGUAGCCGACCUGAGAGGUUGACCGGCCACAUUGGGACUGAGACACGGCCCAAACUCCUACGGGAGGCAGCAGUGGGGAAUAUUGCACAAUGGGGGAAACCCUGAUGCAGCAACGCCGCGUGAGUGAAGAAGUAUUUCGGUAUGUAAAGCUCUAUCAGCAGGGAAGAAAAUGACGGUACCUGACUAAGAAGCCCCGGCUAACUACGUGCCAGCCGCCGCUUAACAC
rnacentral:rRNA from 1 species